rnacentral:rRNA from 1 species
CAUUUUUGGUAAGCAGAACUGGCGAUGAUGGAUGCUCCUAAAGUCGAGUUAAGGUGCCUAAAUUGCAAGCAUCAGACACCAUAAAAGGCGUUGAUUCGUUCAGACAAUCGGAACGUGACCCUGAGAGUAGGUAUCGUUUAAAGACCGUUUUCCACCCACCGAUUUAACGAAUCAGCCCUAAAAAUGGAUGGCGCUAUAUUGCAAUACCGCCACUCGACCUUCAAGGUAAAAAGCAGCCUUGAAGAGUAAGAAGGCGUGGAAGUAGUGCUGAAGCCGCGACGUGAGUCUAGGUGGAACUGCUUCUAGUGCAGAUCUUGGUGGUAGUAGCAAUUAUUCAAAUGAGAACUUUGAAGACUGAAGCUAGAGACGGGUUCCGUGAGAACAGCAAUUGGUCACGGGUUACUCGAUCCUAAGGCAAGGCGGAAACGCUACGAAGCAGUGCUCCACUGCGGUGCCGAAAGGGAAUGAGGUUAAUAUUCCUCAAGUUUGCAAUGGAUCCUGUGUGGCAACACAAACAACCUCGGAGACAUCGGCGCGUACCCCUGGAAGAGUUUUCUUUUCUUCUUAACCGCUCGAAGCCAUGGAAUUGGAUUAUCCAGAGAUAUGGCCUUAAGGCGGGAAGAGCAGUUCAUCUUUCGGACUGGUGGUGCGUUCGCGACGAUCAAUGAAAAUCCGAGCGCGAUUCUAAUCCAUUCAAAAUCGUACCAUAACCGCAUCAGGUCUCUAAGGUUAGCAGCCUCUGGUCGACUAGAAGAAAGUCAUUUAGGGAAUUCGGCAAAAUAGAUCCGUAACUUCGGGAAAAGGAUUGGCUCUGAGGACUGGGUAUGGAGUGCGUUCAGACGAAGGAAAGACCUUUGUUGAGGGCCCGUCCCGAGGCAGAGGACUUGAACUCGGAGGGGCGUUUCCUCCAUUCAUUUAUCAGUCAGCUCAGAACUGAAGCGGUCAAGGGGAAUCUAACUGUUUAAUAAAAACAAAGCUUUGUGAUGUCCCGAAAGGGUUUUGACACAAUGUGAUUUCUGCCCAGUGCUUUGAACGUUAACGUGAAGAAAUUCAACUAAGCGCAGGUAAACGGCAGGUGUAACUAUAACACUUUUAAGGUAGCCAAAUGCCUCGUCAUCAACUUAGGUGACUAUCAGCUGCCCGAAAGGGGGAAACAGACUGGUAAGUGGGGUGGCCUCGCGGCCAUGUGACUCGGUCUCCGGGUCUUAACCUGCGACACUAUCAAAUUGCGGGAACCUCUCAAACUGUUGCACUACCAAGUGUGGCCCGAAAGGGGCAAGAAUAUCAGCAGUCUUCGGACGUCAGCCUGGAUAUACCACACGGCCGGGGUAAUGACCUAGGGUAUGGUAAAAACGUGCAAUGGAUGGAAUCCGCAGCCAAGUCCUAUAGCGGCUCGCCGUAUGGAUGCAGUUCAGAGACUAAAUGGUAGUGGGGUCCGACUGACCGCUGAACCUUCGGGGGAAGCCAUCACUCGGGUCAUAAGAUAUAGUCCGCUCCCUCGGACGAGGACCUUCGGGUACCGGGGGCCAGUGCUAAUUAGUGACGUGCAUGAAUGGAUCAAUGAGAUUCCUACUGUCCCAAAUGACCAUCUAACGAACCCACAGCCAAGGGAACGGGCUUGG